UGCCUUGCCUUCGCCCCACCCCCUGCCCGCAGCUGAUUGGCCACCUGGGUUGGGGGCGGGGCAAAGGCAAGGCA